CUACGUGCCAGCAGCCGCGGUAAUACGUAGGUGGCAAGCGUUGUCCGGAAUUAUUGGGCGUAAAGCGCGCGCAGGCGGAUUGGUCAGUCUGUCUUAAAAGUUCGGGGCUUAACCCCGUGAUGGGAUGGAAACUGCCAAUCUAGAGUAUCGGAGAGGAAAGUGGAAUUCCUAGUGUAGCGGUGAAAUGCGUAGAUAUUAGGAAGAACACCAGUGGCGAAGGCGACUUUCUGGACGAAAACUGACGCUGAGGCGCGAAAGCCAGGGGAGCGAACGGGAUUAGAUACCCCGGUAGUCCUGGCCGUAAACGAUGGGUACUAGGUGUAGGAGGUAUCGACCCCUUCUGUGCCGGAGUUAACGCAAUAAGUACCCCGCCUGGGGAGUACGACCGCAAGGUUGAAACUCAAAGGAAUUGACGGGGGCCCGCACAAGCGGUGGAGUAUGUGGUUUAAUUCGAAGCAACGCGAAGAACCUUACCAGGGCUUGACAUCC
rnacentral:rRNA from 1 species